ACACGAUAGGUCGAAGAGUGGUGCAUGGCCGUUAACGACGAGUGGAGUGAUCUUUGGGUUAAGUCCGUAAAUUAGUGAGACCUCAGCCGUAAGGGACAGGUGCGCAAAGCACAGGAAGGAUGGGUCAAGGACAGGUCAGUGAUGCCCUUAGAUGGUCCGGGCUGCACGCGCACUACAGUGGUCGCCGAAAUUAGCUGAUAAUUUUAAAGGCGAUCGAGAGGGAAUGAGCUUUGUAAGAGGCUCAGGAACGAGGAAUUGCUAGUAAUCGCGGACUCAUUAAGACGCGAUGAAUACGUCCCUGUUCUUUGUACACACCGCCCGUCGUUAUCGAAGAUGAAGACAGGCGCGAACGAUCUACCAGAAAGUGAGCGCAGGUCUUUAGAUCUGAUACAAGUCGUAACAAGGUAGCUGUAGGUGAACCUGUAGCUGG
rnacentral:rRNA from 1 species